UCAAAUUUAAAAUCUGGCGGUCUUUGGCCGUCCGAGUUGUAAUCUAGAGAAGUAAUGCCCGUGCUGGACCGUGUAUAAGUCUCCUGGGAUGGGGCGUCAUAGAGGGUGAGAAUCCCGUCUUUGACACGGACUACCAGUGCAUUGUGGUAUGCUCUCAAAGAGUCGAGUUGUUUGGGAAUGCAGCUCAAAAUGGGUGGUAAAUUCCAUCUAAAGCUAAAUAUUGGCGAGAGACCGAUAGCGAACAAGUACCGUGAGGGAAAGAUGAAAAGAACUUUGGAAAGAGAGUUAAACAGUACGUGAAAUUGCUGAAAGGGAAACGCUUGAAGUCAGUCGCGUUGGCCAGGGAUCAGCCUUGCUUUUGCAUGGUGUACUUUCUGGUUGACGGGUCAGCAUCAAUUUUGACCGCUGGAAAAGGGCCUGGGGAAUGUGGCAGCUUCGGCUGUGUUAUAGCCCCUGGUCGCAUACAGUGGUUGGGAUUGAGGAACUCAGCACGCCGCAAGGCCGGGUUUCGACCACGUUCGUGCUUAGGAUGCUGGCAUAAUGGCUUUAAGCGACCCGUCUUGUAACACGGACCAAGGAGUCUAACAUGCCUGCGAGUAUUUGGGUG
rnacentral:rRNA from 1 species